rnacentral:rRNA from 1 species
UACAGAGGGUGCAAGUGUUGUUCGGAAUUAUUGGGCGUAAAGGGCGCGUAGGUGGUUUGGUAAGUCAGUUGUGAAAUCCCUGGGCUUAACCCAGGAACUGCAUUUGAUACUGCCAAGCUAGAGUGCGAAAGAGGAGAGCGGAAUUCCCGGUGUAGAGGUGAAAUUCGUAGAUAUCGGGAGGAACACCAGUGGCGAAAGCGGCUCUCUGGAUCGACACUGACACUCAGUGCGCGAAAGCGUGGGGAGCAAACAGG